rnacentral:lncRNA from 1 species
CCGGGCCCAGCCGCGCUCGCUUUGGUCGGGAAUGCGGGUCGACUGGAGAGGCCCGAGCAAGCCCCCCAGCUCCACCCGCCCCUAAAGGGUGGGCUUGGGCAGUCACAUCAGGAGCCUCAACAUUCACAUCCGGAAAAUGGGAAGGUCAACAGUCCCUCCUUUAAAAGAAGUUGGCUACAUGUGAAACUGAGGCAUGAAGGAAGGACUCGGAUGAUCUCACGGUUCGGAACUCCACCUGGGCCUGUCAGAGAAUUCAUAGACCCUCACUUGGAGGAAGAGAGCACAGAACAGCAAGAAAGAUGCAGGUUCCUGGGACGAUGUGGAGGUACCGGGCUUGGUUCACUUUUAAGGAGCUGCUUAGAAAUAGUGUUUCAGCUUUGACCACCACUCCCGCCCCCAACCAUGACACUUGAGUGCAGGUGUCUGAUCUCUGCGGUGUAAGCCCGCUAUUGGUCUUAGGGUGGGAAAGUGUGGGAUGGAAUCCUGGUUGAGAGUCCUGAAUGGUAGAAUAAGGGACCAAAGCCAUGCUGAUGUGCCAUUUUUCUUAAACUGUGUGGCUUCCCUCCCCAAAGACAUUCCCUGGGCAGCUUUCAGGCUAAGGAGCCCACGCCCUUCCACGGGAGCCCAGCCAAGAAGGGCCCGGGACAGAGGCUCCAUGCAUGCUUCAUUUUCCUUCCCCUCUGGGCAGGGCUGACUCAUUCCAUUUCUCUGAACAAUCUUUGCAAUGAUGGAUAAGCUGAGGCCCCAAAUGCCGUGGCUCUGGAGAGAAAAACCAUCUUUCGCAGUUUCACAUAAGCCUCCCACUUCUUUCUUAACAAGUGCUGAAAGCGGCACAAAC